CGGGAACUGUGUGACAGGUGCUGCAUGGCUGUCGUCAGCUCGUGUUGUGAAAUGUUGGGUUAAGUCCCGCAACGAGCGCAACCCCUAUCCUUAUUUGCCAGCGCGUUAUGGCGGGAACUCUAAGGAGACUGCCGGUGAUAAACCGGAGGAAGGUGGGGACGACGUCAUGUCAUCAUGGCCCUUACGGGAUGGGCUACACACGUGCUACAAUGGCGUAUACAGAGUGCUGCAAUACCGCGAGGUGGAGCGAAUCACACAAAGUACGUCGUAGUCCGGAUUGGAGUCUGCAACUCGACUCCAUGAAGUCGGAAUCGCUAGUAAUCGUAGAUCAGAAUGCUACGGUGAAUACGUUCCCGGGCCUUGUACACACCGCCC
rnacentral:rRNA from 1 species